GACGAACGCUGGCGGCGUGCUUAACACAUGCCAGUCGAACGGAAAGGCCCUGCUUUUGUGGGGUGCUCGAGUGGCGAACGGGUGAGUAACAAGUGAGUAACCUGCCCUUGACUUUGGGAUAACUUCAGGAAACUGGGGCUAAUACCGGAUAGGAGCUUCUGCUGCAUGGUGGGGGUUGGAAAGUUUCGGCGGUUGGGGAUGGACUCGCGGCUUAUCAGCUUGUUGGUGGGGUAGUGGCUUACCAAGGCUUUGACGGGUCGCCGGCCUGAGAGGGUGACCGGCCACAAGAGGACUGCGAGACGGCCCAGACUCCAACGGGAGGCAGCAGUGGGAAAAAUUGCGCAAUGGGCGGAAGCCUAAGGCAGCAGCGCCGCGUGCGGGAUGACGGUCUACGGGUUGUAAACCGCUUUCGCCUGUGACGAUGCGUGAGUGACGGUAAUGGGUAAAGAAGCACCGGCUAACUACGUG
rnacentral:rRNA from 1 species